rnacentral:rRNA from 1 species
CAAUAGCGUAUAUUAAAGUUGUUGCAGUUAAAAGCUCGUAGUUGGAUUUCGGAGUGGGCCAGUUGGUCCGCCGCAAGGUGUGUUACUGACUGGUUUGCUCUUCUUCGCAAAGACUGCGUGUGCUCUUGAGUGAGUGUGCGUAGAAUUUACGACGUUUACUUUGAAAAAUUAGAGUGUUCAAAGCAGGCUAUUGCUUGAAUACAUGAGCAUGGAAUAAUGGAAUAGGACUUUGGUCCCAUUUUGUUGGUUUCUGGGGCCGAAGUAAUGAUUAAGAGGGACAAUUGGGGCAGUCCGCUGAUUUCGUUUGGUCAUGAGGUGAAAUU